rnacentral:ribozyme from 1 species
AGCCCAGCAACUCCUAUCCCUACCUCCUCGCGGUACCGGCCGGAAACUAUGAGCAACCAAAGCAGGGCCAAAUGGAGG